rnacentral:rRNA from 1 species
UACGGAGGGUGCAAGCGUUAUCCGGAUUUACUGGGUUUAAAGGGCUCGUAGGCGGCCAACUAAGUCCGACGUGAAAUCCCAAAGCUUAACUUUGGAACUGCGUCGGAUACUGGAUGGCUUGAAUUCGGGAGAGGGAUGCAGAAUUCCCGGUGUAGUGGUGGAAUGCGUAGAUAUCGGGAGGAACACCAGUGGCGAAGGCGGUUGCCUGGGGCUUUGCUGACGCUGAUGCGCGAAAGCGUGGGGAGCGAUCCGG